rnacentral:lncRNA from 1 species
CCAUCCCUACCCCGGCCCCCAAUCUCCCUUUUAUUUCCUUUUAAUUGGUGUCUCCCAAAUCCAAAAGCCACUUUUGCCCACCCCAAGUCCUGACUGGGAUCCCCUGUGAGACCAUGGUGUGGACCUACUGGGAGAACUGAGUAGGAUAGAGCUUCCCUUUGAAACUGGACAUUUGAGCUCAACAUGCUUGCUGUGGGUGUGGGAGAGGCCAAGUAGGAGAGAUGCCAUCAGUCUGAUGACAAUCUUGCAGCCAGCAGCGCCCCAACCAAGAGCAGAGCUCCAGGUGGCCAUGUCACCCAUGCUCAGAAGCAUGGGAGGACUGACCCCCACAGCCUGACACCUGGCACACACACCCAGCAUGGGGCCUGAGGCCCUGAGGGCACAGGGCAGGGUGCAAUCCAGGUUGUCACCCCCACAACAAGAUUCAGGGUUAUGGAGGGUGAAUUUCACUCCGUAGAGGACAAUGGUUUCCUCACUUCUGGCCGGGGCAGGAGGGGUGGAGCUCAGUAUAGAAAGUCCUCUAAGAAUUUGACUUUUUUGGGUCACAGCAGAGAUGGGAUGCACUGCACAACAAACCUCCUUGAAGCUGUGGAUUCUAAAAUUGAAGCUAAUUUAAAAAUUCCUAGAAUCAAAUGAAAGUGGAAACACAACAUUCCAGAAUCUGUAGCCCAGCAAAGGCAGUUCCAAGAUGGACGGUUAUAGCUAAGACUGCCUCUAUAAAACCAACAACCAAACAAGUCAGGAAGGUCUCCAGUAAAUAGCCUAAUAAUGCAUUUCAAGGUCUGAGAAAAAUAAGAACAAACCAAUAACAAAUACAAUCAAAGAAUCAGAAGUAA